rnacentral:rRNA from 1 species
GGACGAACGCUGGCGGCGUGCUUAACAUAUGCAAGUCGAACGGAAAGGCCCUGCUUUUGUGGGGUGCUCGAGUGGCGAACGGGUGAGUAACACGUGAGUAACCUGCCCUUGACUUUGGGAUAACUUCAGGAAACUGGGGCUAAUACCGGAUAGGAGCUCCUGCUGCAUGGUGGGGGUUGGAAAGUUUCGGCGGUUGGGGAUGGACUCGCGGCUUAUCAGCUUGUUGGUGGGGUAGUGGCUUACCAAGGCUUUGACGGGUAGCCGGCCUGAGAGGGUGACCGGCCACAUUGGGACUGAGAUACGGCCCAGACUCCUACGGGAGGCAGCAGUGGGGAAUAUUGCACAAUGGGCGGAAGCCUGAUGCAGCAACGCCGCGUGCGGGAUGACGGCCUUCGGGUUGUAAACCGCUUUCGCCUGUGACGAAGCGUGAGUGACGGUAAUGGGUAAAGAAGCACCGGCUAACUACGUG